rnacentral:piRNA from 1 species
GGUAGAAUGCUUACUGGUUCAGCAUGCAA